ACAGCCUGAGGCGACACCAACCACGGCCGCCUGUAUUAGAGGCCGGAGGACUGAAAUGUGGCAACGUUACGUUAAGGCCUACCGUAUGGCUGUGGCUAUAAGGUAGCAAACGGAAGCAGUUGUUUACGCACUUUCGCGGUGUCUGUUUUAUCCGACAUUACAGUGUAAUUAUGCUAUACUGGACUCUGCAAAAAUUAUAGCAAGUAGUCGUGACUACAGUCGAAGAUAUAACACAAUAUGCCAGAAAAAUAUGUUCCUGGUUGCAACAGCAACUACAAAUCCAGCAAGGAAGAGGGUUACAUCUCAGUGUUCAGAUUCCCUAACAGAUUAAUGUCUCUGUGGAACGCCACUUACUUAUAUCUACAAAAAGCUGGUUUCCAUUAUGUGUAACAUAUUGUUAAAUAAUUAUACCAAACUCCAAAAUGAUCAUUUAGUAUGUUCCAAGAAGGAGGGAGUUAAUAGAAAAUUAAAAGCAUUACAUAACUUUUGACACAAAA